rnacentral:tRNA from 1 species
GGAGGGUUCGCAUAGCGGUCUAGUGCGCGUCGUUGGAAACGACGUAUGGAGUAAUCCAUCAGGAGUCCGAAUCUCCUACCCUCCGCCU